rnacentral:rRNA from 1 species
CAGCCGCCGCGGGAAUACGAAGGGGGCUAGCGUUGUUCGGAUUUACUGGGCGUAAAGGGCGCGUAGGCGGGCGAAUAAGUCAGGGGUGAAAUCCCAAGGCUCAACCUUGGAACUGCCUUUGAUACUGUUUGUCUUGAGUUCGAGAGAGGUAAGUGGAACUGCGAGUGUAGAGGUGAAAUUCGUAGAUAUUCGCAAGAACACCAGUGGCGAAGGCGGCUUACUGGCUCGAAACUGACGCUGAGGCGCGAAAGCGUGGGGAGCAAACAGGAUUAGAUACCCCAGUAGUCCCUGUCUCUUAUAA